rnacentral:rRNA from 1 species
AGAGGGUGCGAGCGUUAAUCGGAAUUACUGGGCGUAAAGCGCACGUAGGCGGCUUGGCAUGUCGGGUGUGAAAUCCCCGGGCUCAACCUGGGAACUGCAUCCGAAACUGCCUUGCUAGAGUAUGGGAGAGGGAAGCGGAAUUUCCGGUGUAGCAGUGAAAUGCGUAGAUAUCGGAAGGAACAUCAGUGGCGAAGGCGGCUUCCUGGACCAAUACUGACGCUCAGGUGCGAAAGCGUGGGGAGCAAACAGGAUUAGAUACCCUGGUAGUCCACGCCCUAAACGAUGAGAACUAGAUGUCGGGAGGGUUUGCCUUCCGGUGUCGCAGCUAACGCGUUAAGUUCUCCGCCUGGGAAGUACGGCCGCAAGGUUG